rnacentral:lncRNA from 1 species
CCCUAGUACCUGUGAGUGUGGCAUUAUUUGAAUGUGAGUUAUGAUUGUUGCUUUGUUUUUGUUUAUUCUGUAAGUAUAUUUUGAUUGUUUUAUGUAUGGGUGUCUGUCUGCAUGUAUAUCUAUGCACUGUAAGUAUGUGUGAUGCCCAGGGAGGCCAGAAGAGGCACUGGAUCUCCUGGGACUGGAGCUACAGACAGUUGUAAGCUGCUAUAUGGGUGCUGAGGAAGGAAGCUGGAUCCUCUGAGGAAGCAGCCAGUACUGUUAACCACUAAGCCAUCUCUCCAGGCCUGUUUACUUUCCGUUUUGUAAGAGACUCUCUAAGUUGCCGGGGCUGGCUUUAAAUUCACUCUAUAGCCCAGAUAGGUCUUAGCCUUUCAAUCCUCCUGCCUCAGCAUCUGGAGUGGCUGGGAAGACAGGCCAAGGAGGAGAGAGCAGUGUUGGACAGAAGGAUCCAGAAGACAUGAUCUUGGAGACAAACCAUGGCAGGACACUGCCUUACCAGUAAAGAAGAGAAGACUCAUGGGGGCCACCGGAAGGCUCAGCCAUCUGAGGCAGAUUCCUGUAUACGUCAGGAAGGGAAGGUAUGAUGUGGGGAACUAGAAACACUUCUCAUGGGCGUCACAGAUUCCCCCAUUCUGCUCCCUGCCAACGCCUGAUUCCUCUCUGGCAGCAAAGUGGCAGUACUCCUGGU